ACGCUGGCGGCACGCCUUAUACAUGCAAGUCGAACGCAGUAGCAAUACUGAGUGGCAGACGGGUGAGUAUGAUGUGGGAAUCUGCCUUUUGGUUUGGAAUAACUCGGGGAAACUUGAGCUAAUACCGGAUAAGCCCUUACGGGGAAAGCUUUAUGCGCCGAAAGAUGAGCCCGCACUUGAUUAGCUCGUUGGUGAGGUAAUGGCUCACCAAGGCAACAAUCAAUAGCUGUUCUUAGAGGAAGACCAGCCACAUUGGGACUGAGACACGGCCCAGACUCCUACGGGAGGCAGCAGUAAGGAAUCUUGCACAAUGGGGGAAACCCUGAUGCAGCGAUGCCGCGUGAGUGAAGAAGGCCUUUGGGUUGUAAAACUCUUUCGUUGGGGAAGAAAAUGACUGUACCCAAAUAAGAAGGUCCGGCUAACUUCGUGCCAGCAGCCGCGGUAAUACGAAGGGACCUAGCGUAGUUCGGAAUUACUGGGCUUAAAGAGCUCGUAGGUGGUUAAAAAAGUUGAUGGUGAAAUCCCAAGGCUCAACCUUGGAACUGCCAUCAAAACUGUUUAGCUAGAGUGUGAUAGAGGAAAGUGGAAUUUCUAGUGUAGAGGUGAAAUUCGUAGAUAUUAGAAAGAACACCAAAAGCGAAGGCAACUUUCUGGAUCACUACUGACACUGAGGAGCGAAAGCAUGGGUAGCGAAGAGGAUUAGAUACCCUCGUAGUCCAUGCUGUAAACGAUGUGUGCUAGACGUUGGAAAUUUAUUUUUCAGUGUCGCAGCAAAAGCGUUAAGCACACCGCCUGGGGAGUACGACCGCA
rnacentral:rRNA from 1 species